UCCCCUCCCCGCCCCACCGCGUCCCAGGGAACCCCGGCAGGGCACCCAGUGAGGGGGGCCCGGGCGUCCGCCCAUUCCUCACUGCUGUCCCCGCCUGUGCCCGAAACCCCCGUUCACGUUCACCGAGAAAACAGACAUAAACCCAGCCAGGCACAUCCACUAGAAUGGCUGUGAUUUCAGAAAAGCGGACGUAAGUGCUGCCGAGGAGAUGGAGGCGUUGGACCCCCUCGCGCAUUGUCGGGGCGGGUGCAGCCGCGGUGCAAAAGGACCUUCCUCAGAAAGUUGAGCACGAAGUUCCCACAGGCCCGGAAGUUCCCCUCCCGGGCGCUCCCCAGAGAGCUGAAGACUGGGCGCGUGCCGGCGGCAAAUGUUCACAGCAAAGGGCGGCCCAGUGCGCAGCUGGAACAUCAGCCCCAGGCGGUCGCUGCGACAGGGACGAGCCUGGGAAACGUGAAAAUGUCCAGAACAGGGAAUCCACAGAUAAAGAAAAGACAUCGUGGUUGCCAGAGCUCGCGGGAGGGGGCAACAGGGACCGACUGCUUAACGUGUAUGGUUCCCCUUCAGGGUGAGGACGUGUUCUGGGACGAGGUCGAGGUCAGGGUUGCAGGACAAGAUGAAAGCGCUAAAUGCCACUGAAUUGUUUGCUUUAACGUCAUUAAUUUUGUUAUGUGAAUUUCAUCUCAAUAGAAUAAAUAGGUCAAGCUGGCUGCAGGGCCCACCCCACCGCGGCCUGGAGCAGGGUCUUCUGGGGUGUACCACCUCUGCCCUCACCCAGGCUCCACCACGACCAGCUUCGUCCACCCCCCAGGAGACCAUGAAGGCCCACGUCUGAAAUCCUCACUAAGCCCACCCUCCCAUCUCCCUGAACUACGGGUAGGACCCCUCUGGCCCCCAGCCCUGCCCUUGACCCGGCCCACCAAGCCCCCACCCAGAUCCACACCACCAGGCACUCUUGCCCUUGGCCUGCUGCCAGGCUGGCCCCGCUCCUUCUGGGCCUCCUGGAGCUUCAACCCCUGCCUCCACAGCAGACCUUGGCCUUUAGCAUGUUCAGUCUCCUCAGUGGCAGCCCCGGGAGGGCCAUCUUCUUGGGUCAAAGCCCUCCUCACUACCCACCCUCUUGCCAGGACUAGCUGUGUCCUGCAGCAGCCCAGCAUGUGCCGUUGAGCUGGCCUUUUCUCAGGCCCAGUGCCCAAGGAGGAGCUGAUUGCAUAGGCUCAGAGUUUCCAGGAAGAGUGGGGACUCAGAUGUCUGCCCAGGUGUCUCCACCGCGUCCGCCAGGGCCUCCAGCUUUCCUAACCAGGACCCUGGCCUCUGGCCUUGGUUGAGUAUUUCACCUUCUUCCAUGUUUAGUCCCUUGGGCUCUGCUACCCUCCUGCUGGAGGUGAGAGCAUCCUGUGUGCAACCAGAGAUGCCCUCUGGCUUUCAGACCUGCCUGCUUUUCACCCUCAGCCCUUUCUCACUCAGCAAAAUUGUGGGGGUCCCUAGUCAGCAGCUCCCUGGGCAGCUCUCUGAGCAAGGUGGUCUCUGUGGUCAUGAAGGAGAGCCGGCUAGGACAGUGCCGGAAACUCAGCUGCCUCUCCCCUUCAACUCAGCUGGCCCCCCGCACCUGAAGUGCACAGGAGCCGGGAAGAGAGUCUGGAGCCCACCCCGGAGGGCAGCACAGGAGGUGUCUCUGCAGCUGGUGUCCUGCCACCCCUGCAGGCAGCACACGUCCCGGGCAUUCUCCUUAGCCACAGACAGAACAGCCAGUGCCAGAGUCUGCUGUCGCUUCCCCUUUAAGCACACUCAUUCACCACACCCGAGGAGGCCAGAGGUGCAGGGAGCAUGGGCUGUCGCUUCCCCUUUAAGCACACUCAUUCACCACACCCGAGGAGGCCAGAAGUGCAGGGAGCAUGGGCUGGGUGCACCUCCGCAGGAGAGAAGGCUGAGCCACCGCCGUCCCGGGAGCCCGGCUCCCAGGCCUCUCGUUUUCCCCUACCUCCCUAAGACUUUUCUGUCACUCUCUGGCCAUUGAAAGGCUUCUGUUCCUUAAAGUGCUGUUACACUCUCCUUUCCCAGGAUGCAGCAAGCCAAAACAGUACCACUGCACGUCAGCCUGGGUGACAGAGUGAGACCCUAUCUUAAAAAAAAAAAAAAUUGGCUGGACAUGAUGGCUCACGCCUGUAAUCCCAGCACUUAGGGAAGCCAAAGUGGGCGGAUCAUUUGAGGUCAGGAGUUCAAGACCAGCCUGGCCAACAUGGUGAAACCCCAUCUCUCUACUAAAAAUACAAAAAUUAGCAUGGUGUGGUGGUGCAUGCCCAUAAUCCCAGCUACUGGGGAGGCUGAGGUGAAAGAAUUGCUUGAACCCAAGAGGUGGAGGUUGCAGUGAGCCGAGAUCACACCAUUGCACUCCAGCCUGGGCAACAGAGGGAGACUGUGUCUCCUAAAAAAAAAAAAAAAAAAAAAAAAGUCUUCUUUCCAUGAUGAGAAUGUCAGGCCCUGCAGCCUCUUGCACUGGCCAGAGGGGCUGGGGUCACUGUCUGUUUCCUUGCCCACCCUCAAGGGACAAGGAGGAGAGGUGAGGCUGUGGGCGCACCUGAUUUUACCUGCUGGAGUCUGUGUUCUCUGGGAUUAGGGAGCAUCUGGAGCUGACUCUUCCUCCAUGGGACCCUCCCUUUUUCAGGAAAACUUCCCCUCCUCGGGGAUCCCGCAGGGCUAAGAAACACCCUCUUCACCUCCCUCCUGCCCGGUCCUUCUGACCAGCCGAGAGAGUACAGACCCUCCCCGAUCUGGGAGGAGGGCCCAUCACUGGCUCCCUGCCCCCUGCUCGCCAAGCCCCCCGGGACUUCCCAGGCUGUUCCUUCCACCUGAAGGGUCUCCCUCUGGCCAAGGCGAGGCUCACAGUUCCCCUGUCAGGAUGGGGCCUUAGACACCCAGACUGACCCAGUGACAAUCACCUUAAUUCUCCACAGAUAACUACCUACAAGUUUUCUGAUUUAUUCAUUAGUGGAUUUGUUCGUGAUCAGCCCCACACCUGUUAGAAUGGAAGCUGCAGGCAGCAGGAACCAGUGUGGCCAAGUCGGAGGGCAGCACAAGCCGGUCCUCCUCGUGGACAGCAGAGGAUAAAACCGAGAAUAAGGAACUUUACAUUGUCAAUGAUCAAACACCUAGUGCACCCAUGGCCGUGCGUCCGCAGGACAAAGCAGCCUUUGGAGCCCUGGAACUUAAGAUGUCCAGAGAUCAGCAGCUCUCGGCUCAGGCCCAGGCAGCUGGACAGCACCCAGCGCCUCCUCCAGGUCCUCCUGGGUCCCCUCCUUUCUUUCACUUUCAGCCCGGGAAUCUCUGUGAAGUCCUAGCUGAUAACUAAGGGGUUAAUGAAUAAUCACAGUGAUGAGCUCUGGAGGAGCCAUGGCCCAGAGCAGCUGUGGCCUCCUUUGAUUAAACCACAGAAGUCCGGAGGAUCAGGCCUCAAACCUCCACCACCUGCCAGCUGGCACCUGUGAAGGAGGUGGGACCAGCACCCACCUCACAGUGGCUGCAGGGUCACCUGAGAUGGUGAUUGCAAAGUGCUGAGCCAUCGGGACACAUAUUUCCAAGACCUCCUGAGUGCCGGCUGGCCCCUGGAGCAGAGAUGAGACCCCUGUGGGGCCUACAGUCCAGUUAUGAAGGCAGGGUUCCUGUGUAAGCCAGCAGGCCCAGUUCUGGAAAGGCCAGGAUGUGGGUUCAGAAGCUCAAGGACAAUGGACUCAUUCUGACUGGAGGGAUCCAGGAAGGCUUCGUGGAGGAAGUGGCAUUUGACAUUGGCAUCAAGGAUGAACAGGAAUAGAGAGAGGGGACUGGUGUCUGCGUGAAGGAUCGCCAAAGCGCUGUUCUGGGGUGAGGGCGAUCAGCCCCUCCUGCCCCUCCUGAACUAUGAGGCUCGGGAGCCUUUGGCAGAAGGUGGCUCUGCACGCCCCAGGUGCAAGCUUGGAGCUUCCUUUUCUGCACUCCACAGCAGGAAGAAGGGCAGUGUGAACUGCUCACCACUGUCUUCCUGGGUUUGCAGCUCUGCGCCUGGCACAGAGACAGGCUCAGUGACGGUUGAAGGAAUCGGAGAAAUAAUGAAAAGUGUGUUCAUCCUGCAGGCAGCAGAGCCUCGGGUUAACCGUUAACGUCAGGAAAUGACAGAUCCAACGCUCCUGCUUGGGGCAGCGUGGAGGCCAGCGGAGGAACUGCAGGAGCCUAAAGGAGAUGGCGCGCGGGCCUGGCUCAGGAGAGCAGCCGUCUGAAAGAUGGCGGCGAAGGGUGCGGGAGGAGAUGCCCCGGGCAGGGGCUUGGCGGGGUCUGGCACCAAACUUCCCAAAGCAGCUGCCUCUGUGAACUGUGCCUGGCAGGGAGGGAGCCACACCGGGAGUGACCCUAGACGCUGGCUCCCCAGGGGUGACUGGAGGCAGUGUCUCCCGCCCAUGUGGGCCUCCGGCUUGGGGUCCCCAGAGCUCUGCCCUGCUGCUGGCUGCACUGAGAGAGGUGGCCUUCUGAAUGGGCCCUGUCCCCGGGGAGCCUCUGGUAAAGAGAUUCACCUGCACCCUCAAAACACGCCAUGCCCAUUGGAGGCUCUGGGUGCAGGCUGCCCCUCAAACAGAGAAAAACCACACGCUGUUUAAGACCCAAACCAAGGAGACAGCCCCUCAUGCCCCCUUCUAUCUCCCCUUCUGUCCAGGGCCCCCUGCCUGCUCUGGUCCACCCCGUCCUGACCCCCUCUGCCUGUUCAUCUGAGGGCCGUGAGCCAAGGCCUGGGCCUGGCCAAGGGUCAGGGAUCCUGGGACCUGCUUGAGACCAUGCCCCAUACACUCCUUCGGCCAGAAGGUCAGCCGUAGAGACAAACCCCCACCCUGAGCCCGCAGUGUCAGCAACGCCCUGUCCUCAGUGCCAGGCAGUGUCAGGCUGAGACCCGGGCCACCUGAUCCAACGUCCACUCCAAGCAAGCCAGAGCCAGGUGCUGCCAGCCUGCCCAUGUGCACACGUUAGCAGACAGGUUUCCUGGUGUGGCACACACGUGUUAUGACCGCGGCUGCUGCCCCCAGCCCAGAGUGCACUUCCGGGUAAUCCAGCACCCUGAGGCUUCACUGCUCUCCUGAGAGUUUUCUAAGAUUAAAUCUCCUUCACAAUGACAGCCUCCUGUCACCUGGGCCCUGGUGACAAAGCCUUUGGAGAGGCAAGGACCCAGCCGGGGCAUUCACAGUGGGCAUGCUAUCCACCCUCCGCCCCUGUCCUGGCCCCCACAGUGGAGCCGCCACCUUGGGUAACAGGGGCUGCCUGAGGUCCUGGAGAAGGAAGAACCAGGUGGCCCACCUUCGGUGCACAGGGAACAGCAGGGACCUGACGGCAGCCCCCGCACCCCUCCCUGGGCUGAAGUUCAGGCUGUCUCAUCCCUUGCCAGGAGCUCAGGGCUGAGCUAGGUUGGCAGGGGAUGGGUUGAGGGUCUGUUGUCCAGCAGAUUGCCCGGGCCCCACCCAGGCCACUCAGAAAACACCUGUGAGAGCCCCGCAGGCAUGCAGGGCACUGUCGUGAGCACACCAGUGGGGACAGACGUCCAGGCAGGAGGGAGCAGCCAGACCCCCAUCCCGCCAGGGUCACCAGGUGAGCAAGGCUGGGGAACAAUGGAGGCGGAGCCCCGCGACUGCCCAGCUCACUGCCCCCAGUGUCCAGGCUGUGGUGCAGGCGUGGGGACCCAGGUGUGUUCAGGGGUCUCCUUCAGGGAAGGAGACCAAGCUGGGAGUCUGGGGAGGCUGAGGUGUGAGGUGACAGCAGGUAAAGAGUGAGCCACAAUCAGCAUUUUCACAUGAAAGGAAACUACAGGCCUGGGCGCAGUGGCUCACGCCUGUAAUCCCGGCACUGUGGGAGGCUGAGGUGGGAGGAUCACCUGAGGUCGGGAGUUCGAGACCAGCCUGACCAACAUGGAGAAACCCCAUUUCUACUAAAAAAAAUACAAAAUUAGCUGGGCAUGGUGGCGCAUGCCUGUAAUCCUAGCUAUUCGGGAGGCUGAGACAGGAGAAUCACUUGAACCCGGGAGGCGGAGGUUAUGGAGAGCCAAGAUCGCACCACUGCACCCCAGCCUGGGCAACAAGAGUAAAACUCCGUCUCAAAAAAAAAAAAAAAAGAAGAAAGAAAAAGAAAAAAAGAAAGGCAACUACAGAAGGUGAGGAGAACCACCCGAGAUCACCAGAGGGAACCGUGGAAGGUCCGUGGUCCACCAGCCAGGCUGGGGCACCUCAGCCCCUGGGCAGAGCACCAAGCAGGGCCGUGCCCUGGUAAAGGAGGGCACAGUCAGCCCCAGACUACAAGCUGCCUUGGUCCUCCCAGCAGGGCUUAAAAGCAAGACCCCAAAGGACCAAACAGCUUCCAAGUAACUUCCUGGAGUCCUGAGCAAAGUAAGCUUUUCUCAGCUUUGCUACAAAAAUAGUCAGCACCCAGCAAAAUUCACAAUCCCUGUCACCCAUUCAAAAAUCACCAGGCAUGCGAGGAAGCAGGAAAAGGAAAAUGCACCCAGAAGAGAAGGAGCACCCAUCAACGGGGCCGCCUCAGAAGCAACAGACGACCGGGCAAGUCCAAGGGCACCGAGGCACCUGCCACCACUGCGCCCAGCACUCCCGAAGCCAGAGGGCAGAUUGAGGUUCAGAGAAGUCAGAAGCCUUCCCAAGGCUGCACAGCCAGAAGUGGGCACAGCGUCCUGGGGUGAGGGCUCACACCAUCUGCGCCACCUGCCCUCCAGGUCCCACCAUCCUCACAAAUUCAAGGCAAGGUUCUGGAACCCCCAGCCCUCCAGAAAGGGGAAGCUGAGCCCAGGAAGCACAUCUGAGAGUUCGGGUCCGUGAGUUUACCCUGCGCUCACGCCGAUUCCUCCUGCAUCCUCUGUCGGGAUGUCUGGAUUCCAGAGUCCCCACCCUGAUUUUCCAACCUUGCCUCAGCCUUGGCUUCUCCCUUUUGGGGUGGGACAGGGAACCCCAGCAGCAGGUGUAUGAGGGCAUGAGAGGGCAGGAGGUGCCCUAUGCCUACCCGCCAGACCAGGGCCCCAGCCCUGGACACAGGGAGAGAGCAUGAGCGCUGUUCCUGCUCCCACUCCCUCAUCUGAGCAGGUGCUCCCAGGUACAGGUGCCGAGUCCCACCCAGAGGGGCCCUGCCACAACCAGAGGACUGACAAACCCAGACACAACUGUCUCUUCCCCCUGGUCAGGGUCUGGGCAAGGGUCCCUCUGGGCUGCUGUCCAUGCUGUGAGUGUCCGUGCUGUGGGCCACUGCCGUGGGUGUCCGUGCUGUGGCCUGCUGUCGUGGGUGUCCGUGCUGUGGCCCGGUAUGUGAGGUUGUGUUUCCAACAGGGAGUAAUUUGGCUUUGGUUACCUGAGGGUCUGAGGACAGGCACUAAAGCCCCACCUUUCUGGCUUCCAGAGUUGCCGGCUCCAGCAGCAGCCUCCAGGCCUGAGCAGGCUCUGGGGCUCCCACACCUGGGGGGCCAGGGUGGGGGUGACAAAGGGCCCCAGGCGACGGCUGAGAGCCGGCCCUGAGCCGGCCAGGGCGGGCAGCAGAACAGCCACCAGCUCCCGCCAGGCCCUGGCAGCAUGAGCGAUGGCAGGCCCAGCGAUAAGAAACUAAUAAUUUAUGCUUCCAGCUCCCGGGGCCGGCGCCGAGGGAAGGUUGGGCCACAGCCUCCCCCGCACUGAGCGGCUGCAGUCCUUUAUUGCACAAAUUAUUAACGACCAGAGAAUGAAUGACUCUGUAAUCAGAUCAGGUUGCCAGCACUUUUCAUUGCAUUUAUUUGUAUAAAUUCUGAAGUCGGGGUCUGCCCUAAGCUCAGCAAGCCAGCGUCGUGCUGGCUGGGCGCCCAGGCCCCCACCCAGAAGGAACACCCGUCCCUCACCCUGCCCACGGGUUCCAGAGGACAGAGGGCUCAGGAAGGGGUGCAGGGAACUGCUCUGAGCCAGAAGCCGAGUUCAUAGGCACCCAAAGCAGCCCUGGGCCAGGGUCAGAGCUCUGUCCUUGAACCUGCCUCAGGGAAGAUUCCCAACUGUCCUCAGAGCCAGGGGCACCCAGGGCUUGGGAGCUGAAGGGGGGUGGGUCUGAGACCAGGAGAAGGCUCCCCAGCCCUGAGGGAACCCUCAUCACCCCCCUGCUCUCCUCGAUCCAGGAACCGUCCCAGGGUUGCCCCAGGCCUCCUGGCUCUCCCGCCUCCAUCCCGUGGGCUUCCCGGGAGCCCCAGGCUGGUCUCCCACCUGCCCCCUCCUUUUCUGGUCUUGCCUGGGCUGGGCCCAGGGGCUCUGGCUGUGGGUUUUCUGUGCAGCACCUCGCAGUGAGCCUGACGCUGGUCCUCUCCUGAGCCCCCGUUUAAUCUUAUUGACCUCUCGUUACGCUACAGAGCGUAAAUUCAGAUUUAGAGAUCUUAUGUUCCAUCAUAAAUUGGGCUGGCAGACUUCCGAUCAACAAGAUAAAGCUGUCUUCCGUGAGGCUGGUGUUUUAUUAGUCUUGGUCCCAGUGCUGCAGGUGUGGGCUGGGGAGUGCCUGAGGGAGGGGCCUCUGCUUGGGACCCUUCCUGCCUGGGCGAGGGGCUGAGUCCCUCCUGCCGCCCGGGCUGGGCCCCAGGUACCUGGCGAACAAAGGGACCCUGAAAUUGCCGCCUUUCCCCUGCCUCUUGGGCUCUGCAUAUGAUUUCAGCCAAUCCCUGCUGCCCAGCCUCGCCCACCCGCUUCUGGGGCCACCCCCGCGUUAAGCAGGGCUGUGCAGCAUGGGGGUCCUGUUCUCAUUCAGCCACCGGCACGGCCACCCCAGUGUGAUUCCUCAGCAGCCACACAGAAGACAGAUGGUCCAUAGGAGACUCAGAAACAGAGAAGCCUCACGCCAGGUCCACAGAGGCACCCACGCCCGCCAAAAGGAUGCCACGCACUCACCCUGCCCUCUGGGGAGCACAGUGGGAGUCCAGGACACCGCCUUGGAUGGGGUGCUGGGGCCUCUGGCUGCUGCAGCAUUUACAGAGGAAUUGUCUGGGAUGUGCCGGGCCGAGCACUGUAGCUCUCGCCGGUGUCUGCGUCAGCACGCUAGUGACAUGGCAGGUGAGGACCACGGCACCGCCCCUGCGAUCUGGCAGUCAGAGCCCACCUGUGUGUCUGCAGGAGCAUCCCUGACUACACACCACGGGACGGCAGGGAAGGGUCCCUCGGGCCCCACCCCUUUGUUCUUUCAAUGGUAAAGGUUCAGGUCGGUGGACAGACUGGACUUGGAAACACCUUCUUGCGUCCUCGAAACGACGUGGCACGCAGCCAGCUCACAGCACCCAAAGGCACGGGCAAGUUGCAUCACGGCAGCCCCUCCUGUCUGACCAGGAGCAGGUGCGUUCCUGAGGUCCUGGCCACUUCUGCAGGAGCGUCCGAGGGAGCCCAGCUGAUAUACCACAGCCCCUGACCUCCCAGGUUAGCCUUUCCAUCCAACAGCACCAGGACUGGACAGGCCACCUUGGCUGAGGAUCACGUGUGCCUGGGUCUGGGCGGUGCUGAUGCCCACAGGCCCUGAGUCUGUGUUGCGCACAGGCCUUGGAAAGCAGUGCACAUCCUGUCUGCACCGGUGUCUAUAGUGAAGCCAUCUUUGUCCGUGUGGCCAUGGGAGGGUCUGUCUGUGCUGUGUGUGUGUCCUGCGCGCGUCGGGAGCUGCUGCGCCACACACAGGCACGCAGGGUGUGGGCACACCUGUGCUUCUGAGCCCACGUGCCCUUGCCGGUGGCCAGGCACACACACAGCUGUGCAUCCUUGGCCCAAGAUCAGCUGUGCCACACCUGCAGGCUGCAGGAUCUUUUCUGUAUAUCUCCCUCCAUCACCAGAAGUAAGCUCAGGACUGAGGCUGACAGGCUGGUCUGAGCGCUGCUCACCUGCACCUCCUGGCUGCACCUGUGGCCCCGGACUCAGCUUCCCCAUCUCUCUCCUCCCCACCCCACCUCUGGGUCAUCUCCGGCUGGGGCUGUACCACAUCUGGGCUCAAUAAAUGGUUGAUUGAUUGA